CGUAAAGUUGACCGCGCGCGCGGAAACGAAGCCGGCUCGCCAUCUUGUCUCGUAUUCACGUCUGAUUGCAGAACGCGGCGGGCGCGGGACGAAUCGGAACCUGAGCGAGUGGCGUCGCAGCUUGUUUAAUAGAAUGCGCUGGACACUUUUACAAGACACGGGACGAAAUGAUUCCGGAAUGAAUGGUAUCGCGAUUUUAAUUGAUCUGCUUCGAAACGAAUAGCAUCGCAACUGACAACUUGUGAGAAGAAGGAAGAAAAGAGAUUAAAUUAACAAUUUCAAAGCCGGAGAAGAAAGCUUAGGAGAGCCAUCGGUGGAGCAACAUAGUGAUUCAUUGUAGCUACGUUGCUGACAACUCCAUUGUUGCGCAUCGGACAGUAGAUAUUCUCCGAAAUGGAAAUCGACGAGAGGAAGACAAAUCAUCCAUUGUCGCCGAAUUAUAAAAGAAACGAACCGCAGUCUGUUCGUCGCGUCGCACGUUUUAAUAUUUUGCGA
rnacentral:lncRNA from 13 species